UACGUAGGGUGCGAGCGUUGUCCGGAAUUAUUGGGCGUAAAGAGCUUGUAGGCGGUUUGUCGCGUCUGUUGUGAAAAUCCGGGGCUCAACCCCGGACUUGCAGUGGGUACGGGCAGACUAGAGUGUGGUAGGGGAGACUGGAAUUCCUGGUGUAGCGGUGAAAUGCGCAGAUAUCAGGAGGAACACCGAUGGCGAAGGCAGGUCUCUGGGCCACUACUGACGCUGAGAAGCGAAAGCAUGGGGAGCGAACAGGAUUAGAUACCCUGGUA
rnacentral:rRNA from 1 species